GGGCCAAACAUUUUGCUGACUCAUGCUCUGAAAGCAGGGAACAGCUCACACAUUUAAAUCUUCCUGCAUAAGUUUAGGAUGAUAUGGAUAAAAGUCAUAUAUUUUUUUCUUCUGCUAGAGCUAAAAACCUUCAUGAAAGUGGAAGGUGUAUCUGAAUCAUAAGAUGAGACAGCUGAAUUGAUCUAACAGCUCAACACUGAUAAAAGAAAGACAUCUCUCUCCUAAUUCUGGUCUUCCAUCACUCCUCUUCCCUGGGCUCUGCUUUUCAAAGGCUAUCAGUGAUCCAGCUCAGCUCACUAACCCAAAAGAAAAUUGAUCAAGAACAAAGCAACUUGAUAUUUUCUCUUUAGCUAAUGAAGAUCAUACUUCUGCAAACUUUCUGAUGACCACUAAGAUCUCCUCCUGAUGUUGGUGGUGAGCUACAGAUCAGCAGUCUCCUUAAACUUCACCAUGUGCUCUAGUUUGUGGCUUUAUCUUCAAAGGUGAAAGAGUUUGACCCAAGAUAUAGGACGAUUUGUGCUACUUUAAUAACUCUACCGCCAUGAUGACGGAGCAGCAACAACAUGCAGUUAGCAACAAGAAAGCCUAAAAGCAAGUCUGUGGUUCCUCAGUCAGCAACAGUGGUGCUCAGACAGUCCCAUCUCUGCCCAUCUAACUAAUUUCUUCUUCCACCUGCCCUCCUGUUCCGUGCCACUGAGCGAUCUGUGUAGUUGUGUAAUGAAUCACACAGGCCAAACAUUCCGAGUGAAGAGAACAAACAGUAUUUCUCCAUUUUUCCGAGUUGUAUUCUAUCAGCUCGCUCAUUUGUUCACCAUGCAGCUACACAAACAAUUCUGCUGGCACAGUGCAGGGAGUGGCACGCGAACUGUCAGUGGGAAGAGAGGGAAAUGGGAAGAAAAAAGCCAAGAUUACUUAAGCCAGUAUCAUCACCAAAUAAAUCCUCAUGGACCCACAGCUCAUGUGAACAGAGCCUUUCAUUUAGUUUAUAGUGACCUUUCUUCCAGAAUAACUUGUUCUGCAUGUGAAGGAGCUUUCACUGAGCCAGAAAAUCACAUUUUUUCACCGUACGAAGCCUGUUUACAAAGGGAUUUGAGACGCCAGUUUAUUGAAGAAAUCUGAGGGAUCUGCAGCCCCACGCUGGCUCUGCAUGAAGGUCCAGCAGCCAUACCACCUCCGUCAUCAACAGGAAUUCAACUGCUGGUUUGAGGAGUGCUGCCUACACCUUGGACUACAAAAUAGAGGAGAACUGGAGAUCAAUGUAUUUUGGAGAUCCCUGAAGAUACCCAGUGGAAUGCAGCCACUUUGUUAAAGACCUGAACUGGAGGCCAGUUUUCCAGAGGUCCCGGUUGGCAACCUUGACUCCAGCAGCUGCAUAUUGGGAUAAGUACCCACCUACAGAUUUGGAAACGUCACAGGAAUUUGUCCAUACAUCAAAAACUACCCAGAAGAGUUUUCUUUCCAUGUUCUCACCAGUCAUCUCUGCCCUUGUCUGAAGCUUGAAGAAAGUUUUCAAUACAACGCUAUCAUUUAAUGAUGCAUUCUCCUGCAUCGGGGCCAUUAGCAGACUGCGUAAGUACCCCGAUGAAGUUCAUGAACAGUUUGAAUUAAUUUAAUUAACACUUGUUUCAAACUUUACGGUAAACUGUUAAACUGCAGAAAUAGGAAUGCCGAUUCCUCCUGCGCACACUAGGAAAGCACUAGCUCCCUUUCAGAAAGGAAAUCUAAAUUCAUCCUGAGCGUCAUUUGGACGUCUGACUCAAAGGUUUAGUAGCAUGUCUAGCCAAGCCACAGAACGCUUUCACAUCUGGAUGUGUCCCAUUUGCUAAACAGCUUCAGUCUGCGAACAAUUCCAAAAUACACUGUGCUUUAUUAUUAUAAAAGAAUGUAAUGUUAUAUAACCAAACGUGAAAGCACAUAUUGUGGGAUAUUUCAGAAAGAACAACAUGUUAAAACUGCACUUUUAAAACAAGGUUUGAAUUUAAUGGAGAAAAUGGCCUCAACUGGUCUGCAUAUGUCAAUAGUUUACUUUACGUAAUGGGCUGAGGUCAGAGCAGCCUGCCAGCAGAACUGUUUUUAAAAUUAAAAUCACACUGGUGGGAGGGGAGCAGCUUUCUGACCCUCAGAGCAGGGGUGGACCUGAGCCACAAAUGUCAGAGUUGGGUUGUUCAGAAGUCCGAAGCACUGAGACCCCGGGCUAUUGCCUCGAUGCUUCUCUGAAGCAGACCUAGAAGUUAUCCUCAGGUAAUUGGGGCUGUGUCUCUCUUUAUAGAACACUGCUUCUGCGUCAUUCCCUUCGGAGUUGAGGGCAGCCGAAAU